rnacentral:rRNA from 1 species
CAGUAGCCGCGGGAAUACGGAGGGUGCAAGCGUUAAUCGGAAUUACUGGGCGUAAAGCGCACGCAGGCGGUCUGACAAGUCAGAUGUGAAAUCCCCGGGCUUAACCUGGGAACUGCAUUUGAAACUGUCAGGCUGGAGUCUUGUAGAGGGGGGUGGAAUUCCAGGUGUAGCGGUGAAAUGCGUAGAGAUCUGGAGGAAUACCGGUGGCGAAGGCGGCCCCCUGGACAAAGACUGACGCUCAGGUGCGAAAGCGUGGGGAGCAAACAGGAUUAGAUACCCGCGUAGUCCCUGUCUCUUAUAU